rnacentral:sRNA from 1 species
AUGCGUCAAAGGUUUCAAGGGCCUCAAGCUCAAGUUCAAACUCAAUGAGAUCAAAAUCAAAUAGCCUUCAUGAUCAAACGAACUCAUCUUCAAGUAUACCAUCGGAAAUGGACAUUGUUGGUGAAUCAACUCCGCCUCAAAACACCGUGGUGGCCCCUUGACAAACUCCUACUUCUCUUGGUGGAUCUGGAAAUCCCUCUUAUGCAACUCCAAAAGAAGGUGACGCAAGUGACCAAGUAAAGAAGAAGCUCUUUUGGAAUCAUUAAAAAGUCAUGAACAGUCUACAGUUUGGGAGCACUUUGAAAGAAAAAUUAAGGGUGGUUGAGUUAAGGGGUUGUGCAAGUAUUACGCCCAAUCAUAUAUGGCCGACCCGGAUAAAAAUGGUACAACUAAUUUGAGAAACCAUAUAGCAAGAUAUAGAAGCUACGGUCCUAAUAAGGAAAUAUUUGCCGCAAAUAGGCAAAAGAUCUUAACCUUUGCCGGGACGAAAGAUAAGUUGGAAGUUAUAGGUUUUUCUCAAGAGGAAGUAACUAAGGCUUGUGUUGAGAUGAUAAUUAUAGAUGAGUUGCCUUUUAUUUUUGUUGAAGGAGAAGGUUUUCGCCGUUUUUGCAUGCAAGCAUGUUCUAUGUGGAGAGUGACUAGUCGUAAGACAAUUGCUAAGGAUGUACUUAGCUUGUUUUAUUCUGAAAAUGAUAAAUUGAA